rnacentral:rRNA from 1 species
UACGUAGGGGGCUAGCGUUGUCCGGAAUCAUUGGGCGUAAAGCGCGCGUAGGCGGCCAGAUAAGUCCGGUGUGAAAGUCACAGGCUCAACCUGUGAAUGCCACUGGAAACUGUCUGGCUAGAGUCCGGAAGGGGCGAGUGGAAUUCCUGGUGUAGCGGUGAAAUGCGCAGAUAUCAGGAGGAACACCGGUGGCGAAGGCGGGUCUCUGGGCCGAUACUGACGCUGAGGAGCGAAAGCGUGGGGAGCGAACAGG